rnacentral:rRNA from 1 species
AGAGUUUGAUCAUGGCUCAGAACGAACGCUGGCGGCAGGCUUAACACAUGCAAGUCGAGCGCUCAGCAAUGAGAGCGGCGCACGGGUGAGUAACACGUGGGAACAUGCCCUUUGGUUCGGAAUAACUCAGGGAAACUUGUGCUAAUACCGGAUAAGCCCUUACGGGGAAAGAUUUAUCGCCAAAGGAGUGGCCCGCGUCCGAUUAGCUAGUUGGUGAGGUAAAGGCUCACCAAGGCGACGAUCGGUAGCUGGUCUGAGAGGACGACCAGCCACACUGGGACUGAGACACGGCCCAGACUCCUACGGGAGGCAGCAGUGGGGAAUCUUGGACAAUGGGGGAAACCCUGAUCCAGCCAUGCCGCGUGAGUGAUGAAGGCCCUAGGGUUGUAAAACUCUUUCGGCGGGGACGAUAAUGACGGUACCCGCAGAAGAAGCUCCGGCUAACUUCGUGCCAGCAGCCGCGGUAAUACGAAGGGGGCUAGCGUUGUUCGGAAUUACUGGGCGUAAAGCGCGCGCAGGCGGUUCUUCAAGUCAGAGGUGAAAGCCCAGAGCUCAACUCUGGAAUGGCCUUUGAGACUAGAGAACUUGGGUACGGGAGAGGUGAGUGGAAUUCCGAGUGUAGAGGUGAAAUUCGUAGAUAUUCGGAAGAACACCAGUGGCGAAGGCGGCUCACUGGCCCGUUACCGACGCUCAGGCGCGACAGCGUGGGGAGCAAACAGGAUUAGAUACCCUAGUAGUCC